rnacentral:other from 1 species
AAAGCCCUGCAGUGUACGUAUAAUGCCAAUAUGUUUUGAUCCAACAUAUCUUAUGAGGGAGCUUGUACUCUGAUUAUGGCAUGCAUGCCCUUUUUUUUGGGACGCAUAAAGUAACCAGGAGAGCACCCACCUGCUUCGGCGGGUUCAAAACAGUGGCACUGACGGCAUAGUGGGGUUUUU